CCCAAGUUCAACCAACACGCGUCCUUUAAAAAGCCACAUCGGAAGCGAGUUCUCCUUCCUGUCUCCUUGUGUGCUCUGGAACCACCAUUUCUUUGCUCCAUAGGGAACCUGAGCAUGAUGUCCCGGGUACUGGAGGGGCAACUCUGAAAUAAUCCCUGCUCCCCGCUCCACUGGGAUUAUCUGUAAUCAUGACGGUUUACUACAAAAGGAACGGUAAGUAUCCUCUCUGCCCUGCCGUGGGGGGUGGAGGGACACAAGCAUGCUUGGCUUAUCAAGAGCAUUUUCCAACAGGAAAAUACAUCUUGGUGUUGAAUCUGAUUCUAAAAAUAUCUCCCACCAUCUUGGUCUCUUUUGCAGUCUUAAAUGUGUGAGCGUGUACUCACUGGAUGGGAAUGCAACGCACAGGGUGGGCUUUGUUUCCGAGCAACCCCAAGUGACAGUGGCUUCCCCUCUGGUUCGGGGGCUACUGCUGACAUUAAGGAGGAAUGCAGCAGCUGCAGAAGGUAGCCCGUGCCCUCCUCAAGGAGGGGUUUUAUUAUUGGGGCUCUUACCCAGUUUUAGGCCUCGCUCCUGGGGUAAGUGACUGGACAAUUCGCCAGUUCUCUUACCCGCAGCUGAGGGCAUAGACAGAUACUCAGGGCAAGUGCACUCUGCUCACUGGUUUCCUCGCGUUUCUGUUUCAAGGGUCGGCUUUUGCUUUCCCCAGUGGGAAUAUUUUUAAGGUACUUGGAUGCUUGGCUCAUUUCUACUUUGCCAAGUUUCUGUAAGUUUAAAUCUGGGUGAAAGGAUACGUUCUCUUCCUGUGCUUGAUAAGUCUGAGAAUUUAUUACUUUAGUUUCUCUUUUAUUUAGAAAUUAUUGAGAAAUAUUGCCUUGCCUUAAGAAUCCUUUGGAAACUAUGCACCCUCUACCCAGAUGAGCGUACAUUACACACAGAAUCCAGAUGGUAAUCUCAGGGCAUUGUGAUCUGUCCUGAUCCCAUCCAGGCACCAAGGAAGCCCAGGUCUGUAACUCCAGGGUUAGAAGGUAAAUCCAGGUGCACCCACCCAGAAAGGGCAGCGCUUCCACUGGGAGAAGCGAGGAGAACGUGCUGUCUGCUCGCCUGCGAGCACCGGGGAGGUGGAGGCGGACUCACUGAAGAAGGGGCGGUCACCGGGGAGGACUGCUGAUGCUCAGACUCAUGGUCUCCUCUCGGCCUCCUUGGCUGCUCCCUCUCCUCUGCCUGACCUCCCACCCUCGCAGGACCCAGGGCUUGGGCCUCAGCCUCUUCCUGCUGCACCUCCAGCUGUGACCUAGGAAUGGCACCCAGCCCCACGGCUGCACAUGCCAUCUCUCACCCCUGACUCUCAAAUUUAACUCGGGGCCCCAUCUGCCCACCGCCCUCUGGACUUUUCCACCAGCACGUCAAAAACCAGAUAAAUGAACCAAAUCCAAUUCCUUCCACUCUCUGAUCUGCUCCCCCCACAUACACCAUGCUCCGGGCCUCAGCCCAACAGCCCUCCACCCCUGAUAUUCCACAUCUGGACCAGAACCUCACAAAGCCUGUCUGCCAAGCCUCGUUCUGGCUCCCUCUACCUCGUCUAGACCAACUAGCCAUCUUGCCUAUCUACCUCCCUGUGGGGUAGCCUCUCCUGGAAUCCAGUGACCCUUUCAACACAAACCCCCAAAGCUCCCCAUCCCAGCACUGAGGUGAAGCCCGCGGGGACUGCGUGUUGCAGGAGCCACGAGGUCCCAUUGCUCUGAGUGAUUCCUUCCACAGUCCCAAUUCCGGGUGGCGGGGCAGCCUCGCUGUGUGUUGAGGUCCAAUGGGGCCUGCAAGUUGUCACCCCAGAGCUUGGCACUAGCAGUCCCCUAGGCCAGGUGUGCACUCUGCUCCUCCCCGGCCUCAUUCUGGGCCUCCCUCAGAAGGCCACUCUUGACGAUUAAGAAGCUGUGGUGAAUGUGUGCAAUGACGUCCUACUCAGCCACCAAGAAGAAUGAACUUACAGCAUUCUCCAGGAAGUGGAUGGAAAUGGAGACUCUCACACUCAGUGAAAUUAGUCAAACUCAGAAGCUCAAAGGCUGAGUAUUUUCUCUCAUAUGCAGAAGCCACCCACCCCCGUGACUUAGAGAUCACUGGACUAUCUGAGGGUCUCCGUCUCAAAGGAGGAAGAAUCAUCAACCCAGUGUUAGAUCCACCGAAGACCCCGGACUGUAAAAUACAAAAGGGCUGUGCUAUGGGGAUCGCCAUUCACGAUUCUGUUUAAACCAAGUCGGAGGGAAGUAUUUUAAAUAUCCCUGGAGCUCCCAGAAACGGGAGCCUCCCAGACAGAGAGAUGAAUGUCCCCCGUGGGCACAGCACCAGUGUCGCAGACUCCGUCUGCCUCCACGUGUCUGGCUGGCUGCUCUUGGGAACCGUGCAGCCUCACCUUCCAGACCUCAGUGAGGCUGCAGUCAGGGUGUGGUCCCUUCCAAACAGGUCCCAGUCCCAUGUACACUCCUUGUAGGGGCCUCGAGCAGAAAGGGGCUCAAGCAUCCAUUUAAAUCCACAUCCUCGAAGACGCUCAGCAGAACUGACCCGAGGGUCCUAAGCCCUUGGCCACCAGCAUUAACCCCAGUAUACUCUAGAUCAGUGGUUCCCAAAGUAGGGUCCCUGGCACAGCAGCAUCACCUGGGAGUUUAGAGACAGGCUAGUUCUUGGGGUGCUGCUCAUUAUUACCAAAUCCAACUCCAGGCUGAGGCCUGCUGGUCUUCCAGGUGACAGAAGUGUCCUGCGCAGUGGUGAGCCACUGUCCCAAACCAAGGCUUUGCCCAGACAUUAAUUCCCAGCCCUUCAGAAGGCCCAGAUGAGCUGAAAGUCGGGGGUCCUCAAGCCGGGGGCUCCACGGGUCCUGCUUUCAAGGUGGCCACUCCCGUGAUUCUCCAUUAGGCAAGAGGACUCUUCAGGGAACUGAAUCUGAUUCAGACUUCAGGACUCUAGGAAGCCUUCACCUCCCCUCGUCAGGAAGACAGCCAGAUUGUCCCCACUCUGCAGAAUGUCCCUGAGAACAAUAUGGCUGACAUCAGCCAGUGAAAAGCCAUGGUUAAACCCGUGUUCUUUGCUUCAAGCAUUAUCAGGAAAACAAAAAGGCUUAGACGUCUCCCUGCUGGAGGUAGCCAUUCCAAGUAGUCACUGUCAUUGUCAUCUCUAUAUGUGAAGCUUAAAAAAAAAAAAUUAGUCAGUUAUGUUAAUACAAAAAGGGAACUUUCUAGUGAAGGCUCAAAAUGCAAGGAAUUUGGAUCAGCUGAACCGACUGACGCGUGACUUUGCUACCAGACACACGCCUGCUGAGCAAGAUGGCUCUGUUAGCGUUUCCUCGUGGCCGCAGGUCUAAGUCUCCGUGGGUUGGUGAAAGCAACCUACAGCUAAAACUAUGUCCACAUGCAGCAAGGCCCACGUGUCCCUGGAUUCUGGGAGAUGCAUAAUCGGGGCAUUCUAGAAGCACAGCUUUAAAUGGUCUUUCUGUUCCCGCCUCAUGCAUCUGGGGCCGUGGACGUUAUAUCCAAAUGCAGCCAGAAAAAUGUCCCAUAAAGAACUUUAUUGACAAAAAGGUAAAUUUCUAAUCACCCUUUCAGUAGGCUUCAUUCAGAAGGGGUACUGUGUCAUAAGAGCAGGAUUUUUAUGGCCCUCUUAGGAAUUCUCCAUAUUAAAAGAAUGUUUUCAGUUUAGAGAGAACCCAACUGCAAAACAUUCCUGAACUGUGACCGGCUUUGCCCUGAUCUCACAUUAUGUGGUGGAUCUUUGUCUCCCGGAGGGGAGGGGAGGACGACCUCCUGCUUGCUGUGCUGUUUUGCCAUUGCAGAGCUCAACAACCAAAAGGAUUAAAAUGCCCCGUUGCAAAGCAAUUCAAGGACAUGCUUGAAUUGCUAAUAGCGUCACUAACACGGCAGGGGCCACAUGUGUAACAAAUACCACCAUGUCCCACAAAGGAGUCCUGACUAAGGAAAGCUUUCCUCUGGAAAAGGUCUGCAGGAACCCAAGAGCAGUUGCCCCCUGCAGUGAGGGAGCCUCCUCCCCACGGGCCAGACGCAUGCUCCCGCAGCCCGGGCCUGAGAGUCUGGAGCUUUCUGUGCGCCCCUACUCGCUCCUGGGCAGAGUUUGGUCCUGCUGCCCAUGGUGCCUCUGCCCCAAGGCAGGAGAAGAGCUGCAGAGCAUCGGUGGGGACAACUGAGGCCCAGGAUGUGCCGGCUGGGCAGGGGACUGCAGGUCAGCAGGCCGCUCCAGGCCUGAGUAAGAUCAUCACUCCUGCUCACAGCAACCCGCGAGGUGGGCGAGGGGCGUCACAGAUGAGGAAACCAGCGUUCAGAGAAGGGAAGUGACUCUCCUUCACAGCGCCCUGAUGAAGCGUGAAGGCCAGCGAGGUCUGGGCUAGUUGUGCCCAGGCCCGGUCCUUCUUGAGGCUCACCACCAUGGGCAUCUCCUGAGGAGCUGGAGGAAGCAGGCCAGGCUCUGCUCACACAAAGAGUUCACAGUUUCCGUGAAAGUGUUCCCGGGGGGCCUUUAAACCCCACUCCAAGCUGACCCAGGUGACAGGACUUCCCCUCUGGAAGCUUCGAGAAGGGCCACCGGUCACAGAGGCUCCCACCCUGGGCAGGAAGUCGGCCUUCAGAGGCUCAGAGUCCUUAGCACCUGGGCAUGCUGAGUCCAAGCAGGGACAUCCACACUUCAAGAAGGGGCAAAGCCAUGAAGAGCCCGUGUGGGGAGGGGCUCCCUCCUCCCGGUGCCGCACCGUGGCCCCUCCCGGUGCAUGGUUGGCAUGUGAUUGGCAUGUCCAUCCCUGAGACGCUUCCCAUUUCCUCCUGUUGGGAACCACAGUCCCUUCCUUUCUCCCUGUCACCGGCACCCAGAACUGACCCAAGCAGCACUUCCCUCAUAGGUCCAGCCCAAGACAGCACUUAUUCUUGACUCAGAGCUUUCUGGUUUCUACCUCUGGGUGGUGUGAGGGGCCCUGCCCAAGCUGAAUCCAGAGACCAGGUUCUCAGACCAGCUGAUCCAAACAGCUGGGAGUCGGGGCCAAGUAACUCAACUCCCCUGGUCCUCUGUUCCCCUUCUGUGUUGGAGGAAUGUCUUGAUCCCAAAGUUUCUUCCAAAUAUCAGAUUCUGCGAUUCUGGUCUGUGGUGACAGAGGACAGUCCUCUCUCCUUCUGCCUCCGUGGGGGCAGUGAGCAAGUGACCCCAAUCUGAAGCCGUCUGCAGGGGACGGCACUCUCCUCCCAGAGAGAGGCCACCCUCCCUGGGCCCAAGACUUUCUCAGGGAGGAAGUGGGACUGGGCCCAAGGUUGUCUGCCGGGGCCUGGGAACCCCCCGAUGUGGCAGGGUGGAGAGCAUCGUGUGCCAGCCUGUAGCCCUUCCGGGGCUCCUGGGGCACCGCUGCCAGUGGCUGCUUUCACCAGGACUGAAAGGGCCAGGAUGCCAGCACUUUCCCACAGUCCCUCCCUGCUGGACAGGCACUUGCCAUGGCCGUCACGCAAAGAGCUGUUCUUGUCUUCCUUUACUUCCUUGCCCUCCUUUUAAUCCUCUCUGGCCUGAUGUAGGCAAAUCCCAACAGCCAAGCCUGUCCCCUGGGACCAUUCAGGGUAGGACCCCACUCCAGGCCUGUCCCACCAGGACCCCUCCUCCCCCUCCUCCUACGUUCCCCCCCGUUUCCCAGCCCGAUCUCCCGGAUGAAUCUUCAAAGACUAGAACUGCUGCUUUGGGGGAAGGAGGGAUGAUGGUCCUGAUUCUAAAGGAAUAAGGACGGUAGUUUGAUUCAAUUAGAAAUGAGGCAAGGGAUGGGAGGUGACAGGCUUUUAAAGCACUGGUCCCCUGCGAGGGGUGUCUUGGGUUAUAACUUCCUGUUCCAUCACACCAUCCACCGUGGGCCAUCUAUUCCUCACAGGUGCACUCCCGACCUGCCUUGGAGGACAUGAGGAACCCAGAGGUGGGGGAGCCUGGCCUCCGCUUCUCCCAGCCUCCAGCGGUACCCCAGGGGCAGGAGCAGGCUGCACGGCCGCCGCCUGCAGGUCCCCUGCCCUGCCUUCUCCCCAGCACCCCUCCCUGCCCUUUGCCCAGUCCCACUCGUUUUCCUCUUCUUUGUUUCGCUCUCUGGGGUCCAGUGAAUCUCUGGGCAGUUUCUGGGUCCACCAAAAUAAAACAGUGAUGUCCUCC
rnacentral:lncRNA from 1 species